CGUGCGUCUCGAUGGAGCGCGCCUCUACAGUUUCACGACGAGAACUAACCACAGAUGGAAUCACAAUCUCGUCGAUUUCAAGACAACCCAAGACAAGUAUCAGUUGGUCAUUCAAGUGCAUAUUGAGAAAGGCCUGAUUGCACUCGAUGACUUGGAAGUCACAUCUGGACCAUGUCCCGCCAGAGACUUUUGCUCAUUUGAGCCUGGCUACCACUGUCCAAUUCAUCAAGGGGCCGGAAACUUCGCCUCCUGGACUGGUCACAACAGCCGAAGACAUCGGCGUCCCAGAUCACACAAUCAAGACACU